rnacentral:rRNA from 1 species
AUACGUAGGGGGCGAGCGUUGUCCGGAAUGAUUGGGUGUAAAGGGCGCGUAGGCGGCCCGGUAAGUCUGGAGUGAAAGUCCUGUUUUUAAGAUGGGAAUUGCUUUGGAUACUGUCGGGCUUGAGUGCAGGAGAGGUAAGUGGAAUUCCCAGUGUAGCGGUGAAAUGCGUAGAGAUUGGGAGGAACACCAGUGGCGAAGGCGACUUACUGGACUGUAACUGACGCUGAGGCGCGAAAGUGUGGGGAGCAAACAGGAUUAGAUACCCUGGUAGUCCACACUGUAAACGAUGAAUGCUAGGUGUAGGGGGUAUCGACCCCUUCUGUGCCGCAGUCAACACAAUAGGCAUUCCGCCUGGGGAGUACGGCCGCAAGGUUGAAACUUAAAGGAAUUGACGGGG